UGUAGUACUCUUGGAAGUCGUACAAUUCCUUUGAAGUUUUGGCUCUGUCAGCGUGCCACUUCUACCACCUAACUACCAGAACGACAUGCACUUUGCUGUAACAGCAAUUACAUUGCCAAGAUGAGAGUGAAUUAUCUACAUUCACGGAUAUAUUCAGGCUAAUUCGGGAUGUUCGCUUUUAUUAUGAAGGGGUUUUUGGAAGGGUAGCUUGGAAAAUUAUCUUGUGCGAUGCAGCACCACUGUUGCUUGUUGUUUUGGCUGGCAAAAAUUGAUCCCCAAAUGUUUCACAUGAAAGAGAAUAAUGUUUCUAAAUUUCCAUUCUGCCCUGCAUGAAGGUAAGAUUUCCUGGAACUCUCUAUUGGUCUGGGAUUUUUUUUCUUACCCCCCAACCAUGUAGUUCAUUCUUGAAAGUUUAUGUGACAAGGAACUACUUGACAUUCUCUCUUUUGGACAUCUGUAUAUGUUGCUGAUUUGAUUUGGAGGUCUUGAGUGUCAUUUUGAUCU